CUCCCAGUAGCUCAGUCGGAUAGAGCGUUGGAUUCCUAAUCCAAAGGUCAGAGGUUCAAAUCCUCUCUGGGAGGCCA
rnacentral:tRNA from 2 species